rnacentral:rRNA from 1 species
GACGAACGCUGGCGGCGUGCUUAACACAUGCAAGUCGAGCGGUAAGGCCCUUUCGGGGGUACGACGAGCGGCGAACGGGUGAGUAACACGUGGGUGACCUGCCCUUAGCUCUGGGAUAAGCCUGGGAAACUGGGUCUAAUACCGGAUAUGACUCCAUGACGCAUGUUGUGGGGUGGAAAGCCUUGUGCGGCUAGGGAUGGCCCGCGGCCUAUCAGCUUGUUGGUGGGGUGAUGGCCUACCAAGGCGACGACGGGUAGCCGGCCUGAGAGGGCGACCGGCCACACUGGGACUGAGACACGGCCCAGACUCCUACGGGAGGCAGCAGUGGGGAAUCUUGCGCAAUGGGCGAAAGCCUGACGCAGCGACGCCGCGUGAGGGAUGACGGCCUGGUGUAAC